rnacentral:rRNA from 1 species
CGUAGGUACCGAGCGUUAUCCGGAUUCACUGGGCGUAAAGCGCGUGCAGGUGGUAUGGUAAGUCGAGCAUGAAAACUCUUGGCUCAACUGAGAGACGCUGUCCGAUACUGCCGAACUUGAGGGUGUAAGAGGGAGGUGGAAUUCCGCAUGUAGUGGUGAAAUGCGUAGAUAUGCGGAGGAACACCAGUGGCGAAGGCGGCCUCCUGGUACACUCCUGACACUCAAACGCGAAAGCUAGGGGAGCGAACGGGAUUAGAAACCCCGGUAGUCCUAGCCGUAAACGAUGAUUACUAGGUGUUAGUGGUAUCAAGCCCACUAGUGCCGAAGCUAACGCGAUAAGUAAUCCGCCUGGGGACUACGAUCGCAAGAUUA